ensembl:lncRNA LINC01517 long intergenic non-protein coding RNA 1517
CUUGGAUCUGGACUUUUAGAACUGGUCAGGACCUGACAGAUCCUCCAGCCCAGUUCUCCCGGCUCUCAAACACUGGCAUCAUUUAUAAUUCCCUGGAAAAUCACCAGCAGGUAAAUGAAGGAGAAAAGAAAAGAACAAAAUCCACCGGGAACCAGAGACUUCCAGGCUCCAAAGACAGGCAAUCUCCACCAGGAAGGCUGGAGUGCAGCUGAGGUCUGGCUUUAGCCAAGGAGAGCACCUUGAAACCUGGCAGAGAAUUACAGUGAACCAGAAGACUAAGUGAAGCAUGAACUGGCAUAAUAUGCUUUCCUGGCUGAAAACCAUGAAUGACCCAGAAUAGUUCAUAUCUUUGGAAGAUCCUUAUUUUCCUUGUAAAUGAAAGUCAUGCAUUUGGAAUAAUAACAUGAAAUGAUGUGAAUGACAAUUUGGCCAGGAAGUGACCAGCAAUGGAAAAAGGGAAAUAAUCAGCACAUCUGCAUGUGUGCCCAUCUCAGAGACACAAACUGUGAAUAACAACUCACUUGGCUUCAUAACCAAGACCUACUCUGAGGAAUUGCAUCUCUUCCUUGGAGACCUUGAUUGGCCUGCUAGGUUAAAGGCAUUUCACUAAAUUCUUGGAGGAGUCUGAGAGAACUUGGGGGUGCUUGAGGAACCCAAAGGUGUGAAGUAAAAGCUGGAAACCAAGAUUGCUGGGAAAGUUCAGAGAAAGUAGAGAUUACUUCGUUUGUUGGAGAUCACAUGCAAGUAUAGACAGGAUUUCCACAUGUCGCCCAGGCUGAUCUCAGACUCCUGACCUGGAUCUUCCCACCUCAGCCACUGAACGUGCUGGGAUUACAGAGGAUGUCCAGCUAUCAUUCCAUUUGUCUGCUUUUUAUGCCUAAAAUUCAUGGAAGAGUCAGCUGGGCAUGCCAUCUCACCACCUCACCUCUUCUCCAUGCCAGUCGGGCUCCCACUUCUGCUGCUUGAUGGUGACUCCUGCUCCAGAGACAAGGUCUUGCUAUGUUGCCCAGGCUGGUCUCAAACUACUGUCCUUAAGUGAUCUUCCUGCCUCGGCCACCCAAAAUGCUGAGAUUACAGGUGUCAGCCACCGUGCCCAGCUCACCGUAAGCCUAGAAUUGUACGAUUGGAACUCAAUGACGUUCACGCUAUUCUUAGAAACAGUUGAGCCAGUGGCGGUGGAGUCUGAAGGCUCUGGAAUCUUUUCCUUCGUGUGGCAGCAACUUAUUUUUCCUGCGGAGGCUCGGUGGU